UCAGCCUAAGAGGUGGAGGGGCCGUGCGGAGUGUGGGCCCGAGGGUCCAUAGAUGACGUAUCAGUCGAUAGGCAUUUAUUCUACUGUUCGAGGAAAACAAAUAAGGGUGCAGCUUAGGCGAAAAGAAAAACAUCUUAUUGCCAUUGUCUAAACUCCAACGGAAUGUGUCUGAGACCGUGUGUAUGGAUACACGUGUACUUGAAACAGACCCGCCUGUGUGUACAGCUCUUGCUGUAAGUCAACGCUUUACCGGAGCUAUCGCACUUAAGCCUCAGAACAACUUUAUGAGAUGAUUUCUCAGAAGUGGGAAUACCAGUUCCCAAAAGGUCUACUUCUAACAGGCUUGUUUAUAUGCAUUCUUAUUCUAUCCUGGAUUGGAAUCAGAAAAUUGGACAGUGUUGCAGGUUCUGACUGAUGCAGGCACACCGACAGUAACGAAAGUGAGAACUGUGUCCUGUGAUGUACAACUCCCAUGGGCAACAUUUACAUUGUAAUGUAUGUAAAUGGAAUUUCCUGAAGCACAAUUAAGAGGCUACAGAAUUACUGACUUUUAUGAAUCAACAAGCCCAAGUAAAGUCAAGAUCCUGACAUCUGGGACUUCCCUGGUGGCGCAGCGGUUAAGAAUCCGCCUGCCAAUGCAGGGGACACAGGUUCGAGCCCUGGUCCGGGAAGAUCCCACGUGCUGUGGAGCAACUAAGCCUGUGCGCCACAACUACUGAGCCUGUGCUCUAGAGCCCACGAGCCACAACUACUGAGUCCGCUUGCCACAACUACUGAAGCCCAUGUGCUCUAGGGCCCAUGUGCCACAACUACUGAGCCCACGUGCUGCAACUACUGAAGCCCACGCUCCUAGAGCCCAUGCUCUGCAAUGAGAAGCCACCGCAAUGAGAAGCCCGCGUGCCGCAAUGAAGAGUAGCCCCCACUCACCGCAACUAGAGAAAGCCCGCGCGCAGCAACAAAGACCCAACGCAGCCAAAAAAAAAAAAAAAAAGACCCCGACAUCUAAAAACAUGUAACCCUUUAAAUGUCAUUUUGUUUUAAUUAUGUAACAUGAGUUUAUUAUAAAAUUACUU